AGCUCCGGAUUUUGACAGGCAGAGCCGUGGAUUUUCCAGUGCAUUCCAGGAAUAGGGGGGAAGCUUGUGCACCCUAAGAUCGGCUGGAGGUGGGACGUAAAUUUGGGAGGGCCAGCUAGCGAGCCGAUUUGUCUAGAAUGUGCCAUUCCCAUCCACUUCAGGGGGCCAAGCAGCUGCAUUGCACGUAAUUGCUCACGGAAGCCCCCCUCCCCUCCCCCGGCGCCUCAUAGCAACCAGCAGCAGGUGCAGAGGGAUGCUCAGCUUUUCUCCCCUCCUGCAACCUGGGUUUUCAGAAGCGCCAGUGACUGCCGCGGGACCGGAGCACUGAUUUUUUUCGUUUCCUAGGAUCGGCCGGGAAGCUUCUCUGAAGUCGCUGUCGCCGCUUCUCCCAGGCUGCCAGCGUCCGGCCGGCUCGCCGGCUUCUCGGCUCCGGCCUUCUCGUUGCCGCAGCCUUAGAGACAGUGGCCAGCGCCGCUGCCGCAGCAACCGCAGCCGCCGCCGCCGCGCCGCCGCCGCCGCCGCCGCCGCCGCUCGGGCCCCGGCCCCUGCCCGAUCACAGCCGCCGCCGCCGCCGUUCCCGGUACCGCGCAGUCCUGCCGUAUCAGCGAUCGGGCUCCAGCGGCUCAGCCCCAGCGGCCGUCACCAUGACUUACAACUUCAAGCCUGGAGAUCUCAUCUUCGCCAAGAUGAAGGGCUACCCCCACUGGCCUGCCAGAAUCGACGAGGUACCCGAUGAUGUGGUGAAACCCCCGCAUAACAAGCUGCUCAUUUUCUUCUUCGGCACUCACGAGACGGCCUUCCUGGCUCCCAAAGACAUCUUCCCCUACUCGGAGAACAAGGCCAAGUACGGCAAACCCAACAAGAGACGAGGCUUCAACGAAGGUCUGUGGGAGAUCGAUCACAACCCCCGAGUGAAACCCUUCAAGAAGCGCCCCGUUGCCUAUACCGAGAUGGAAGGAGGAAAAAAGGAGGGGACCACUUCCAAGGGAGAUAGCGAGGGGAAGCCCAGGUACGGUGGCGUGCCCCCCAAGUCUGCAGCUGCAGCCUCAGCGUCCUCCUCAGCCGCUUCGUCCACCGCGGGGGCUCCCAGAGGGAGAAAGAGAAAAGCCGAGAAGGCCGUGGAAGCCGAGGAGACCGAGGGCGCCAAGGCCACUACAUCUACCACCACCAUGACUCCUCAGGUGAGCCCCAAAAAGGGGAAACCCUGGCCCCCUCCCUCCCCUACCCCUGCCGCGGUUAGGAUGAACAACCCCAAAGGGAAGGCCAAGAUGUACAAGCUGACCAAUCCUGGCGAAGGGGAGGGGGCUUCUGAGGAGGAUAAGGGCAAGAAAAAGGGGCAAGAAGAAAAGCCCCCCAAAAAGCAGAUGAGAAAGGAGGAGGAGAGUGAGAAGGAAGAAGAUAAGCCCAAAAAAGAUCCUGGCAAGAAAGAAAUGAAGAAAGAAGUUGACCCAAAAAGAAAACUCGUGAAACCAACCAUGGCCUCGGGUGUCAUCCCCUCCGACUCUGAGGAGGAGGGGGAAGAACAAGAAGGUGAAAGGAAAAGAAGAUUAUCUCGGAACUUUGAAGUUGUACACAGAAAGGGCGCCUUAAAGGGUCAGUUUGAGAAAGAGGAGGAAGCGGAGGCCGAACCCCAAACUGCCUGUAACCUUCAGUAAAAAAAAAAUCUUGAAAAAAGAAGAAAAACCAUCUGUGGAGUUCAGAACAAAGCUAAUUCAAGCGAAACAUCCUAGAGAUGACCAUCCUGUGACACCCAGAUGCCUGUUUUUCCCACCCCAGUGAAAAAGUCUUGUACCUGUAUUGAAAAGUUUUUGAGAACUUUAGUGUUUAUCUUCUUUUGUUUUGACUGUUAAAUAAGUUCUUCUGAGGCACAUUCUACCCUUCCCGCAGGUGUUUCUUUACUUAGCUUCAAAAAGGGACUGUUUGUUUGAAAGCAACAAGAUUUGAGUUCAAGAGAGAGUUCUACAACAAGGAUUGGAGACUUUAAAAAGGUGACUUUUUAAAACAAGCUUUGAGUUCAAGAGAGAGUUCUACAUCAAGGAUUGGAGACUUUAAAAAGGUGACUUUUUAAGCUAGGUACUGAACUGGAAUUGUCAUCUACUGCACCCCUGAAAAGAAGCAAGUUGUGCCCUUUCUUUGGUGUUUCUUUGCGCUUUAAUUGUUUACUGUUUUCGUGGCUGUACUUUUUGUUUACAGAAAUCCUUGACUUUUCUAAAUGAUAUUUGGUACUAUUUUGAAAAACAGGUUAAAUUGGAAUUAACUUAGUAUUGCUAGUACAGCUAAAUUAAAGUGGUAGAAAUUAUUCAGCAAAA